AGCUCCCUGUCUGCGCAGGCGCCCUGGCCUGCCGCAGCCCACUCUCACAGGGAGUGGGGCACUCCGCCCCACUACAGUGACAAAACCCAAUCAUUACCGUAUCUAUUCAUUGGGAUCUUUGUUGACAGCCUCAGUGUUUGGCCUUAUUUGCCACCUGAAGAUCAUGUUACAGCUAAUAGAAAUACCAGUGAGCAGUGAAAGAAAGGCGCUCACCUCCAUAUCUUUAAAACAGAUGCCAUUCGCAUGUCUGCUCUGCAAAUAGGAAUAAAUUCCUGACCCUGACACCUCACAGGAGUGAAAACUGGGCACAUAUACACACCAGAAAGUUCAGAGGCACACAAAGCGAAAGAAAAGAAAAGAAAAGCUAACCAG